CUACAUAUGUCCCGAGUGUUACCCGGAAUAAUUGGGUGUAAAGGGUUCGUAGGCGGAUAAGAAAGUUGGACAUGAAAGACCAAGGCUCAACCUUGUGUUUGUAUCCAAAACUCCUUAUCUAGAAUUAGCGAGAGGUAAGCGGAAUUCUAAGUGUAGGGGUGCAAUCCGUAGAUACUUAGAGGAACACCGAAAGCGAAGGCAGCUUACUGGAACUAUAUUGACGCUGAGGAACGAAAGCGUGGGUAGCGAAAAGAAUUAGAAACCCUUGUAGUCC
rnacentral:rRNA from 1 species